rnacentral:rRNA from 1 species
ACAGCAGCCGCCACGGUAAUACGGAGGGAGCUAGCGUUGUUCGGAAUUACUGGGCGUAAAGCGCACGUAGGCGGUUAUUCAAGUCAGAGGUGAAAGCCCGGGGCUCAACCCCGGAACUGCCUUUGAAACUAGAUGACUGGAAUCUUGGAGAGGUCAGUGGAAUUCCGAGUGUAGAGGUGAAAUUCGUAGAUAUUCGGAAGAACACCAGUGGCGAAGGCGACUGACUGGACAAGUAUUGACGCUGAGGUGCGAAAGCGUGGGGAGCGAACAGGAUUAGAUACCCGCGUAGUCCCUGUCUCUUAUAC